AGGACUAACGCUGGCGGCGUGCCUAACACAUGCAAGUCGAACGAGAGUAGCAAUACUCUAGUGGCAGACGGGUGAGUAACACGUGGUCAACCUACCUCUUAGUGGGGGAUAACUAGCCGAAAGGUUAGCUAAUACCGCAUUCGAUCUUCGAUCGGCAUCGAUUGAAGAUGAAAGGCGCAAGUCGCUAAGAGACGGGACCGCGUCCCAUUAGCUAGUUGGUAGGGUAAUGGCCUACCAAGGCGACGAUGGGUAGCUGGCUUGAGAGAGCGACCAGCCACACUGGGACUGAGACACGGCCCAGACUCCUACGGGAGGCAGCAGUGAGGAAUUUUCCGCAAUGGGCGAAAGCCUGACGGAGCGACGCCGCGUGUGGGAAGAAGGCCUUCGGGUCGUAACCACUGUCGAAGGGGAAGAUAUUGACGGUACCUUGGAGGAAGCCCGGCUAACUACGUGCCAGCAGCCGC
rnacentral:rRNA from 1 species